GGACUACUGGGGUAUCUAAUCCUGUUUGCUCCCCUAGCUUUCGUGCAUCAGCGUCAGUUAUGGUCCAGUGAGCCGCUUUCGCCACAGGUGUUCCUUCCGAUAUCUACGCAUUUCACCGCUACACCGGAAAUUCCACUCACCUCUCCCAUACUCAAGCCCGGCAGUUUCUGAUGCAGACUAUGGGUUGAGCCCAUAGAUUUCACAUCAGACUUGCCAAACCGCCUACGCACCCUUUACGCCCAAUAAAUCCGAACAACGCUUGCCCCCCUCGUAUUACCGCGGCGGCUGGCAC
rnacentral:rRNA from 1 species